rnacentral:rRNA from 1 species
AUGGCGGAAAUGGUCGGGCCGCGCGUGUACAGCUGCUGCCACUGCCGCAACCACGUCUGCCUCCACGACGACAUCAUCUCCAAGGCCUUCCAGGGGAGGAAUGGCCGCGCGUUCCUCUUCUCCCACGCCAUGAACGUCACCACGGGGGCCAAGGAGGACCGGCAGCUCAUGACGGGGCUCCACACCGUCGCCGACAUCCACUGCCGUGACUGCCGCGAGGUGCUCGGGUGGAAGUACGAGCGCGCCUACGAGGAGUCCCAGAAGUACAAGGAAGGCAAGUUCAUAUUCGAAAAGGCCAAGAUCGUGCAGGAGAAUUGCUAG